CGCGGGAUAGAGCAGUUGGCAGCUCGCCAGGCCCAUAACCUGGAGGUCGCGGGUUCGAGUCCCGCUCCCGCAA
rnacentral:tRNA from 1 species